GUGCCAGCAGCCGCGGUAAUACGGAGGGUGCGAGCGUUAAUCGGAAUUACUGGGCGUAAAGCGCGCGUAGGCGGUCUGAUAAGCCGGUUGUGAAAGCCCCGGGCUCAACCUGGGAACGGCAUCCGGAACUGUCAGGCUAGAGUGCAGGAGAGGAAGGUAGAAUUCCCGGUGUAGCGGUGAAAUGCGUAGAGAUCGGGAGGAAUACCAGUGGCGAAGGCGGCCUUCUGGACUGACACUGACGCUGAGGUGCGAAAGCGUGGGUAGCAAACAGGAUUAGAUACCCUGGUAGUCC
rnacentral:rRNA from 1 species